AUGGAGGCUCUGACCCCGACGCACCCUCCUGGUUCCUGGUUGCAUCUCCCCCUGUUUUUCAGGUUGUUGUGUGACAACUUUGCGGUGUGGAGCUGCGUGCAGACGGCGCUCAAGGCGGCCAACUCCGUCGUGGGGCUCGCCGGCAUGGACGUCAUCCUCUACGCGCUUUGGGUGCUCCGGGCCUGGUCCAAGCAGCACUCCGUCGUGGGGCUCGCCCAGUUGCUCACUGCUGGAUUUGCUGUUUUACCCCCCAUUUUUUUGCUGCCGCUCCGCAUUACUCCGACUGAAUUCGCGGCGAAAUCUGUCGCUCGGCUAGCUGACGCACCCACCGCCGACCGAAUUCCCACUGUACUGCCGGGGUAG
rnacentral:rRNA from 1 species